AGGGAAUUUUCGUCAAUGGGGGGAACCCUGAACGAGCAAUGCCGCGUGAGUGAGGAAGGUCUUCGGAUCGUAAAGCUCUGUUGUAAGAGAAAAACGGCACUAAUAGGGAAUGAUGAGUGAGUGAUGGUAUCUUACCAGAAAGUCACGGCUAACUACGUGCCAGCAGCCGCGGUAAUACGUAGGUGGCGAGCGUUAUCCGGAAUGAUUGGGCGUAAAGGGUGCGUAGGUGGCAGAUCAAGUCUGGAGUAAAAGGUAUGGGCUCAACCCGUACUUGCUCUGGAAACUGAUCAGCUAGAGAACAGAAGAGGACGGCGGAACUCCAUGUGUAGCGGUAAAAUGCGUAGAUAUAUGGAAGAACACCGGUGGCGAAGGCGGCCGUCUGGUCUGGAUUCUGACACUGAAGCACGAAAGCGUGGGGAGCAAAUA
rnacentral:rRNA from 1 species